GUUCUGGUGAGCACUUCUUGGAGUUCUGUGACAAGCCCCUCCACUGGUGGUCUAACUCCUGCCUUCCUCGCUUGAGUCAUCUCGAGACAGUCACUCCAACAUGCCUUACUCUUUCAGUUCCUUGAAUUCCCUGAACUCCCGUUGUUCUGGACCUUUGGAUCUGUCUUUCCCCUGCCUGGAAAUUCUCCUCCCCUUUUCCUUCAGGUCACAGUGAAAUCAUUUGGCUCAGAGUGGCUUCUAAUCCUCUGUGAGGCUAGGACUUUACCCUUUUCCGUGCUCAUGCUCUCGGGCUUUCCUGUAACCUCUCCUUUCUCGUCUCCUUUCCCCCUCUAGCCUGGAAGAGCAGGAACUGUGUCUCCUUCACUUUCCCCAGCACCUAUCUCAGAGCCGGGCCCGCAGUAGGGGCUCAUGCAUUUGUUGGCUGGCGUUAACGUGAACCAGCACGUCGGCUGUGGAUGAAUAACUUUCCAGGUCCCAAAAUUGUCCACUUGCUUCUCUUUCACCGUUGGGCUGAGGUGGGAGGUCCUUUGAGCCCAGGAGUUCAAGGUUCAAGUCCAGCCUAGUUAACAUAGCAAGACUCUCUAAAACAAAACAACAAAACAAAAACAAUCUAAUCUUAGGAUUAGAAAGGACAAGGACACCAGAUGUCAUCAAGUCCCAUCCUUUGACCUCUGUAGGAAUUCCCUGUGCAUAUUUCUGGUAAGAAUUCACUAAUCCACUAGUUGUCAGUUCUCCACUUCACUAACUUAUGGGGCAGCCUAGUUCCAUAUUUGCAGGGUUCUAGUUGUUGAAAAAGUCCAUGUAGCCCAGUACAUUGUAUGUAGUGGUGGUUUAUUGAAUGAG
rnacentral:lncRNA from 10 species